CAAAACUUUUCAACAACGGCUCUCUUGGUUCUGGCAUCGAUGAAGAACGCAGCGAAAUGCGAUAAGUAAUGUGAAUUGCAGAAUUCAGUGAAUCAUCGAAUCUUUGAACGCACAUUGCGCCCCGCCAGUAUUCUGGCGGGCAUGCCUGUCCGAGUUCAUUUC
rnacentral:rRNA from 1 species